AUGGCCUUUGAAGAGCUCCAGACACCCAUCAGUUACCUCGCAUCCAGAGCCUCUCAAACUAUCUCAUUCACAAUACUUGAAGCCAGGUUCAGUGGAAAAGUCCACCUAUCCAAACACUGCAUGAGACACCAGAAGUGGAGGCCUGCAGCUCUGCAGUCAUUCCCAGAGCCGGCAUCUCCACCUUCCCUACCUGAGAAUGUGGAAGCCAGACCCAGAGAGGAAGAACAAAUUGAAUCCUGCUCUGAAGUUGCUUUAUGUUCUGGAUUUGGAGAGUUCCUGGGAGCAUUGGGCAAGAAAAAAUAGGUAGGUAAGGAGAGAAGAAAGUCAGAUGAAAAGUGUAAGCAAUGUGUUCUGUCCUCCACUGCCUGAAGUCUCAUGUCGCUGGCUCCUGAUUGUUGGAGCAGUUUAGGAAAGUCAGCAGAUAGAGUUUAUAAGAGACACAGUGGGGAACCAUACCCUUUGUGUGGCCUGUUCCAGAGGUCAUUAUCCUUCAGCCCUCUCUGUAGAAUUCUGCCAUGUUUUAAGGUCUAAGGGAAAGAAAUGCUUCAGCUACCUCAACUAUUAACCAAAAGGCAAAUCUACCAAGGAAAACUAAAUUUUUCCUAGUGGAAAUCUUAUCACAAGUUUCCAUGCUAUAAUAAAAAUGAUUGGAAACUGUUAUGCUAAAGUGUC
rnacentral:lncRNA from 1 species